rnacentral:rRNA from 1 species
GAUGAACGCUAGCGGCAGGCCUAACACAUGCAAGUCGAGGGGCAGCACAGAAACAGCAAUGUUUUGGUGGCGACCGGCGGACGGGUGCGUAACGCGUAUGCAACCUACCUUUAACAGGGGGAUAACGGAGAGAAAUUUCCACUAAUACCCCAUAACAUCGAUCAAGGCAUCUUGAUUGGUUGAAAACUCCGGUGGUUAAAGAUGGGCAUGCGUUGUAUUAGGUAGUUGGUGAGGUAAUGGCUCACCAAGCCUACGAUACAUAGGGGGACUGAGAGGUUAGCCCCCCACACUGGUACUGAGACACGGACCAGACUCCUACGGGAGGCAGCAGUGAGGAAUAUUGGUCAAUGGGGGCAACCCUGAACCAGCCAUGCCGCGUGCAGGAAGACGGCUCUAUGAGUUGUAAACUGCUUUUAAACAGGGAUAAAGCACAGUAUGUAUCCUGUGUCGAAGGUACUGUAAGAAUAAGGAUCGGCUAACUCCGUGCCAGCAGCCGCCGUAA